rnacentral:lncRNA from 1 species
GCCAGAUCCUUGACCCACUGAGCGAGGCCAGGGACUGAACCCACAUCCUCAUGGAUACUAGUCAGGCUCUAGAUACUAGAUAAUAGAUUCUAGAUACUAGAUACUAGUACACUGAACCACAGUGGGAACACCGAGGUUCCUUUCUUGUGUAAAAUGAGCAGAUACACUUUCUCUUAUAAACUGAGGGUAUCUUGUCAUGUUUUCCAGGCCGUGAUAACUGUAGAUGAGCGGUGGACGCAUCCAUGGCCCAACAAGAGCAAGACGGUGAAGGGCUCAAAGCCUGUGGCUUAGACGUCUCCGUGGUUGUGGACCCGGUAACGGCGGCCACUGCCAUCGCCUACACAUCAAGGAACCCCAUCCAGCAAUGUGACAACGAAGACCACCUGCUGUGCCUGCCCCCAGGUGACACCACUGGAAACAGGGGCCUUGCUGUCUCUGAGGACCAGCAGGAGUUCCGGAAAGGAAGGGAACCAUGAGAUAAGCUAUUUUCCCUUCCUCCGCCUGAGCGGCCUGCUCCUGGGCACAGGACUUUAUAUCUCUGCGCAGAAGACACCUGCGAGGCCAGGCUGAAGGGUGGGCGCCGUGGCAAGCUUGCCCGCACCCUGUGUUUGCCGUCCUGGCUCCCCGUCCCCUCAGUCAUCAAAUAUCCCCUGUAAGCUUCGCCUCUUGUUCUUUUUCUGGGGAACGUGGGCUAAGACAGUGCUUGUACAUGUUUCUCUGUAUUUAUGCUUAGCUCUGUAGACUAAAUUCGGAGAAGUGUUAACACUCUCUAAAAUAAGGCCAUACAAAUUUUUUUUAAAAGCAAGUUCCCUGGGAGUCUAGUGGUUAGUACCUGGUGCUUUCACUGCCAUGGUUCAAUCCCUGGUCUAGGAACUGAGAUCCCACAUCAAGCUGCCAUACUCUGUGGCUAAAAAAGAAAAGAAAAAGAAAGAAAAUAAGGCCCUUUUUUUCAACUUGUCAAUAAUUGUAUAUUUGGUAUUCUGAUUUUAAAGUAAUAUAUGUUUAUGGCAUUUUACAAAAUAAAGUAAAAGUUAUAUUAACGUUAUCGGUACA